CGUCAACGCCAGGAGGCUGAUAUGGAACUUACACGUUCACUGAAUGUCCUCAUGAUCGGUGCCGCAUUCACCUUCGUGGUGAUGAUGCUGUUCAUCUAGGUA
rnacentral:ncRNA from 1 species